CAUAAUUUCUCUAGAUUUGUUUCAGUUGACGGCAAUUCUCUCUCACUGUCCGUUGCUUCUCGUCUCCGGAGGAGCACUUCCGGUGUAACUCGUUUGAGAACGAGAAGCUGUUUUCCUCUUUCUUCAACAAUGGCGAAGGAACAGCAACUGCGGCCAUGGUUUCUGGAUCUGGUUCCGGCGUUGGUGGUUCUUCUCGCAGCAGCUCAUGUCGUCGCUUUGGUUUACUGGAUUUACAGAUUGGCCACUGAUCGGCAGCCUCAGAGACGAAAAUUCCACUGAGGACAAAUUCAAUAGAUCUCGUUCAUGGAUUGGAGAGCUUUUCGUGCUGCCACAGAUGACAGAUGAGUUUGUAAGUUCUUGAAUACUCGUUGGGGUGAUCGGAAGAGAAUAUUUGAUCCACCCACGAUUCACGUUAAGUAGAGUACAUGAGUGAUAUGAACAAGUUCUAGUUAAGUAGAUUUUGACCACAAAAAAAAAAAAAAAAGAUGCAGAUUCACGGCCAGAUUUAUAUCCCAUUGCGAUGGGAAGCAACAUUUUCGUUUUUUUUUUUUUUAUAAUCUCAACGGGUACGUUACAAGUUGUCUAUGCAAAGCCCCACGACCAGGACAGAACUCUUUACCGUA